rnacentral:rRNA from 1 species
GAUGAACGCUAGCGGCAGGCCUAACACAUGCAAGUCGAGGGGCAUCAUGGCGUAGCAAUACGCUGAUGGCGACCGGCGCACGGGUGCGUAACGCGUAUGGAACCUACCCACCGCAGGGGGAUAACCCGCCGAAAGGCGGACUAAUACCCCAUGGUUCCCCGACCCUGCCUGGGGUUGGGGGUAAAGCCUACGGGCGGCGGUGGAUGGCCCUGCGUGCCAUUAGCUGGCUGGUGGGGUAACGGCCCACCAGGGCGACGAUGGCUAGGGGGUCUGAGAGGACGAUCCCCCACACUGGUACUGAGACACGGACCAGACUCCUACGGGAGGCAGCAGUGAGGAAUAUUGGUCAAUGGGCGAAGCCUGAACCAGCCAUGCCGCGUGCAGGAUGACGGCCCUACGGGUUGUAAACUGCUUUUAUAUGGGAGCAAUAAGGUCUACGUGUAGACUGAUGAGAGUACCAUAUGAAUAAGCAUCGGCUAACUCCGUGCCAGCAGCCGAC